UACGUAGGGUGCAAGCGUUGUCCGGAAUUAUUGGGCGUAAAGAGCUCGUAGGCGGUCUGUUGCGUCGGCUGUGAAAACCCGGGGCUCAACUCCGGGCCUGCAGCCGAUACGGGCAGACUAGAGUUCGGCAGGGGAGACUGGAAUUCCUGGUGUAGCGGUGAAAUGCGCAGAUAUCAGGAGGAACACCGGUGGCGAAGGCGGGUCUCCGGGCCGAUACUGACGCUGAGGAGCGAAAGCGUGGGGAGCGAUCCGG
rnacentral:rRNA from 1 species